GCCCUGCCCGCAGGUCACAGGGUGGCUGUCCGCUCUCUGGUCGGCCUGCUGCUCCCCAGGGGCUUCAGGAAGGGACUGACCUUGACCCAGAGAGGAGGAGAUGGACUCGGACACCCAGCCCAAAGAGUGGGAGGAGCCCUGAGGGGUGCUGCCUGGGUGGGGGACCAGCGCUCAGAGGCCCCCCACGCCGCCGGCCCAGGCGCACGGCCGGCGCACGUCUGCGAGGCCAGGAAGGUUUGAGGCCGGGGUCAGGGAUCCGCGGAGGACGGACGUCUGGCGGCUGGCUCGCCACCCCCUCUCCCGGGGACUCGGACCGCCCGGCACCGCUCUGCUGGUGGAGAGGAGCCAGCGGGCGGCCCGACUGGGUGCCCCCGGUCAACUCACUCGCUCUCCGAGCACGUGCGGGGACCCAGCGGUCCUGGGAGACGCGCGCUUCCUACCCUCCCCGCGGGGCGGCGCCAGUGAGCAAGGCCGGGAGCGCAGGGUCAUUCCGUCCUCCCCUUCCCGCCUCUCUACACACGAGCCCCGAGUCCCCGGGGCCCCUGGAGCAGGCGGGUGGACCCCCCGACCGAGUCCGCUUAGAGAAGUCGGUGCGAGUUCAACGAACACGGUUGAACUAUCAGGGUCUUUAUCCCCGCCCGCAGGUCAAACCACUGACCUGAGAACCGGUUCGAAAGACCACGAGGACAUACCUGGAGUAUUUGAUGAAAUCCUAGUCCAAGAGAUUCUGGAACCCAAUAAAUCGACGUCUAAAAUGCCAACGGCAGGAACAACGCUAUCAACAAGAAUAUUCAAGGAAAAAAGCAACCUCGAGGAGGAGGACGCCCCGUCGGCUGCUUCCGAGGGUCACCGUGUGCUCUCGGCGGUUCUCCCCGUCUCUCUCGGCCCUGAGGACAAGAUGGUCAACAACGAACCCAGUACUGACGACACCUACCAAGUCGGCGAGCCCGAGGGCUCCCCGGAGCCGCAGUACCCCCCCGGCGUGGGAGACGUACUUCAGAAUAACGUCUUUUUCAAGGCUGAUUUUGAAACUAUAAUUGAGAACAUACAGCGCGGACUCAGCAUCAUGGGACCUGUAACACAGUGACUGGCUUUUCUUCUCCCGGUUUUAUGGGGAUGUAAGGGGCACCCAGCUCUGUGUCAGGUUGAGGUACAGCAACACGAUGGCUCCGACUGUGUCAUGCAGGACCACCACCCUAAGUUCAGGGACCAUCCGUCGGCUCACUCAGACACAAAGUUAAAGAAACAGAAACGAAUCGUUUCCCUGUGACGGCAGCUCUCAGGAUGUAUCCCCUUAACCGCCUCCUAAAUAAUGUUCAGCAGGGUUGGUGAGCCUCACCGCGUCGCCUGGCACGGGUGUCUCCCACGGCCCCAAGUGUGCGCCGUACGCACCCCCUCCUCGAGAGUCCCUCUCCUCCCGAGCCCCGGCACCCCAGAUCUGAUCUCUUGGCCUAGAAGUGUGUUCAUUUGUUUUUGAAGAUAAUGGACCGACAACACUGAGUGAGUGCCUGUUCCUGAUUUGUGGUGAAUCAAUACUUCUGUGUAUUUCAAACAGAUUCACCUGCAUGUCUUGUUCCAAUAUGUCACCCCCCAAAAAUAUGACACAGUUAUUGAUACAUUCCCUACUCGGGACAUUUCUUACCUAUUAGUUGUUUAUAACUAAAAGUUUGUACGUCUAUGUCUUCCCCACCGAUUUCUUUUUUCUUGUUAAAAUGUAGCUGAUUUGAACAUGUUAGUUUCAGAUGCACAGCAGAAGGCCUAAGUUAUAUAGAGAUGUAUAUAUAUAAACACAUACACACAUUUGUAUACAUGUGUAUACAUUUUUUUUCAGAUUCUUUUCCAUUACAGGUUAUUACACGAUCUUGGGUCUCCCCUGUGCUGUGCAGUAGGUCCUUGCUGUUUAUGUGUUUUAUAUACAGUGGUGUGUGUGUCUAUUAACCCCAAAGUCCUAAUUUAUCCCUCCGCCCCCUCCUGCCCCUUUUGGGACCAUAAGUUUGUUUUCUAUGUCUGUGAAUCUGUUUCUGUUUUGUAAAUGUAUCAUUUUGUCACAUUCCACAUAAAAGUGGUAUCAUAUGACACUGGUCUUCCUCUAACGUAGCACGAUCAUCUCUAGGUCCAUCCACGCUGCCGCAAAUGACAUAAUUUUGUUCUUUUGUGACGCUGAGCAAUACUCCAUUGUGUGUAUGUACCACAUCUUAAUCCAUUAAUCUGCUGAUGGACAUUUGGGUUGCUUCCAUGUCUUGGCUAUUAGAAAUAGUGCUGCACUGAACAGUGGGGUGCGUGUAUCUUUUCUUUUGUUUUUAAUUAAAUGAAUUGAUCACAUCUGCAGUUGUAUAAUGAUCAUAACAAUCCCAUUCCACAGGAUUUCCGUCCCACAGCCCAAGCACAUCCCCCACCCUGCAUGUAUCUCUCCAAAGUAAAGUUUUCUCCGGACGUGUGCCCAGGAAUAGGAUUGCUGGAUCACCGGGUAGUUUCACAUGUAGUUUUGUACGGACGCUCCAUGCUGUUUCCCAUGGUGGUGUACCAAUGUAUACUCCCUCCAGCGUAGGAGGAGUCCCUUUUCUUCUUACUCUCUCCAGAAUUUACUUUUUUCAGACUUUUUGAUGAUGGCCAUUCUGACCAAUGUGAGGUGAUACCUCAUUGUAGGUUUCUGUUUUUGUUUUUAGGGCUGCACCUGCAGCACGUGGAGGUUCCCAAGCUAGGGGCUGAAUCGGAGCUAUCGCCGCCAGCCUACACCACAGUUCCCAGCAACACCAGAUCCUUAACCCACUGAGCAAGGCCAGGGAUCGAACCUGCAUCAUCAUGGUUACUAGUCAGUUUUGUUUCCACUGAGCCAUGAGGGGAACUCCCGUCAUUGUAGUUUUGCUUCGCAUUUCUCUAAUAAUUAGUGACAUGGAGCAUCUUUCCAUGUGCCUGUUGACCAUCUGUAUGUCUUAGGAGAAGUGUCUAUUUAGGUCUCUGGCUCAUUUUUUUGACUGGUUUUUCUCUCUCUCUCUUUUUUUUAAUAUUGAGCUGUAUGAGCUGUUUGUAUAUUUUGGAGAUUAAUCCCUUGUCGGUCACAUUGUUUGCAAAUAUUUUAUCCGUUCUGUAGGUUGUUUUCUUGUUUUUUGUAUGGCUUCCUUCACUAUGCAAGAGCUUUUAUGUUUAAUUAGGUCGCAAUUGUUUAUUUUUGCUUUUGUUUCCAUUAGUCAAAAUAUUUCUGCGAUUUAUGUGGAAGAGUGGUCCGCCUCCUCCUCUCGGAGUUUUAUACAGUCCAGUCUUCCAUGUAGGUCUUUAAUCCAUUUCGAGUGUAUUCUUGUGUGUGGUAUUAGUGUUCUAAUUGCAUUCUUUUACACGUAGCUGUCCAGUUUUCCCAGCACCAUUUGUUGAAGACACUGUCUUUUCUCCAUAAUAUGUUCCUGAUUCCUUUGUCGUAGAUAAAUUGACCAUAAGUGUGUGGGUUUAUUUCUGGGCUCUCCAUUCUGUUCCAUUGAUGCAUGUUUGUUUUUGUGCCAAUGCCACACUGUUUUGAUCACUGUAGCUUUGUAGUGUUGUCUAACGUCUAGGAGUCUGGGAACAAAGGCCUCCAGCUUUGUUCUUUUUCCUCAGAAUUACUUUGGUGACUCUGGGUCUUCUGUGGUUCCAUAUAAAUUUUAGGAUUAUUUGUUCUAAUUCUGUGGAAAAAUGCCAAGGGUGAUUUGAUAGGGAUCAAGUCAAAUCUAUAGAUUGCUGUGGGUAGUAUGGCCAUUUUAACUGUUAAUUCUUCCAACCUAAGGGCAUGGAAAGUCACUCUGUUUCUCUGAAUCCUCUUCAGUCUCCUUUAUCCAUGUUUCAGAGUGCUCAGUGGGCAAGUCUCUCACCUUCUCUCCUUAAUUUUAAUCAUUUAAUCAUAUUUUUAAUCAUUAAAAUCAUUUAAAACUUGACUUUUAAGUAUACAGCUUUCUAAGGAGUAUUGAGGGGGGAAAAAAAAGCAUGAGUUAAGCCUGUGUACUUUCUUUUCUUUUUUNUUUUUUUUUUUUUUUUUUGUCUUUAUGUCUUUUUUCUAGGGCCACGCCUGUCGUAUAUGGAGGUUUCCAGGCUAGGGGCUCAGUCGGAGCUGUAGCUGCCAGCCUACGCCAGAGCCACAGCAACACGGGAUCUGAGCCACAUCGGCAACUUUCACCACAGCUCACGGCAACACCGGAUCCUCAACCCACUGAGUGAGGCCAGGAACCGAACCCACAACCUCGUGGUUCCUAGUUGGAUUCGUUAACCACUGCACCGCAGCGGGAACGCCAAGCCUGUGUACUUCAUUGACAUAACUGGGAAAGCCUUAGAGCUUCACACUGAUAGACUUUUGUUUUAAAACAAACUGAUAAAUGUGGGGUAAAUCUGAACAAGAAUUCCUGAGUGGGCGUUCCCUUGCCAGCCUAGAGAUUAAGAAUUUAGUGUCGUCACUGCUAUGGCGCGGGAUCUAUCCCUGGCCUGGGAACUUCUGCAUGCUGCAGGUGCAGGAAAAAAGAUUCCUGAAGAGAACAAUAACUGAAGCACUUGCUACCUCACUGCAACUGUGCAGUAGGCUGUCCCCAACCUCAGACGGGCAUCUGCACAGCGUCCAGAUCGUCCAGGAGGCAUGUGUGCGUCUGUGUGACGAGGGGCUGGAGAAAGUGCUGCCCCAGCUCCACCACCACCACGUCAAUAUUCGCUCCGUCCUUUUCACUUCGCAAGUGCCAUGCUUCCUGCUUCCACCAGGCGUUGACAUGCUCCCCGUUGGCUCUGCAGCCACCCGUUUUGGACUUUGCAGGACCUCUGGGACGAUGGGUAUCAGAGCCAGAAGAGCUGGGUGACCCGCGGGACCCGCUAGUUUGCAGAGGACAGACUGGCAGGGGGGCCGCACGGCUGGAGAGGAGCUCCUCAUACCCCCUUGGAGGCUCAGCCCUUUGCAUCAAAAGGAAAUGGCAUCGUGAAGCCCACCCCCUCCCAGGGUCUGCACCUGGACCAAGGGCCUGGGGGGGGAUGGGCAGCAGUGCCCGCGGUUCCCACCCGGCUGCCCCUCAUUGCCCCCUGCAGACAGAGUCAGAACUUUCCAUUUUUAGAAAAGAUGAAACGGAAGUGAGAAGGCGGCUCCCAGCCUAUCUGGGUUCCUGAAGGGGACGGGGGUGAGGCAGGGCUGCUGGGGGCUUGGUUUCCUGAGGGAAAGCGCCAUCUGUGCUUUGUUUCAGCAUCUGCCUCAUGGGUGGCUUGGAGGACCCCGUAGGAUGUGGCCUCCUGAGGACACUGAGUCCUCCAAGCCCCCAGGUGCUCUGGCAGGACAGGUGUGUGUUGUUCUGAAUGCACGGCUGGACCAACAUGUCCAGCUGGAAGGAAACGUGGAGCCUGGAGCUCACCUGAGCAGAGGCCUGAGCUCACCCAGCAGAGGACUGGCCUCGGCGGGCAUGCGCUCAUCAGAGGAGAAAAGGCAAAGUCCACGAUGGUCAAGCUGCACAAGCAGCUCCAAUGCUGCUGGACGGAGCUGCUGCUGUCCCUAAGGUGCAGCUUCCAGGGUCCACACGGGAAGCCCGCUGACAGCUCGCCCAGGACACUCACUGUCUUGUGGGGUCAGGCGGGGAAACUGUGCCAGAAGAGGAUGCUGUGGCCACGGGGCACUGGCCUGGAAGACGGCAGGAGAGAAGGUAAGGGAACGUUCCCUGGGGUCACUGAAGGCAACAGGCAAGGACGACCUGCGGCUGAAGCAGAGGAAGAUCGGGCGAGAUCUGGCUCCAGCUGCGGGGAGCCUCUCCCUGCUGGGGGCUGGGACACGGCUGGUCCCCUCCGCCUGGCCUGGCCGCUGACACCCUUCCACAGAACGGGGGGCAAGCCAGGGGUCUUCCAGCUGCAGAAAGGGUUGACUGGGUUGGUAUCAGCCUGUGAAAGAACAGGGAGCCGAGGAACAGAAUGAGUGAAGGCACGUGCUGGCGAAGCUCGUUUAGAGAGAGCAAGCUGAGGAGUGCGAAAGGCACUGCUUCGGGGGACACUUCUGGUGACACUGCCCUGAGGCUGAGGUCUGGGCCCAGGCGUCUGUGGCUCCGCAGGUGCCACGGGCAGUCGUGGGUCUCCUCGCCACACUGGUCUGGAGGGGACCCCUUGCUCAGGCACCAGUGCCGGAGGGAGCAGCUGGCGUUUCAGCAUCCGCCCCUACGCCUCGAGUCCACCUGCGUCCGUUCCAGGCGGGGCCAGAGCGAAGGUCCACAGCCCCGACGACCCACCUCUCAGCUCUGCAGGCUGGGGCCUUAAUCCACACCCUCCCCGCCGCUUCUGGCAGUUUCCCACCGUCUUGGGCGUUCUCCAAUCUCCGCCCCCAGGAGGUCACCUGGCCUCCUCCCGUCUGCGUCUGCGGCUGAACCUUCCCUUCCCUGUCCAGGGCCACCCCCUCCAGUGUGACCUCAUGCUAAAUAAGGUCGUGCUCGCCACCGGCACAGGAAGCCCAAGUUCACGGGCUCUGGCUCUGGCCCCCUGGGAGCUGCGCAUGAGUGUGGACGGCACCCUUCUGAAGAGUGAUGACUGACUCUCUGCGACAGGGACAGAGGAAGCUAACCCCGCCGCAGGGCUGCGCUCCUGCCGGCACCGGCGUGUUUCCGUUGCCCCACCGACCCCACAGCAGUCCUCCUCUUCUGAGGCCAACAGGCCGAGGAACCCCCGUGAGGCCUGGGGCGAGUUUCCCAGAGGCCCCUGGGGCGGCGAGGGCCACCCCUGGGGACCAGCUCUGGGGACCAGCUGUGACGGCCUCCAGCCUCCCACUGCCGCCCCUCCUGCCUCUGGCUUGGCGGGCCCUGCCUGCGCUGUUAACGUGCUGCAGACGCGCCAUGAGCAGAGCGAGGUGGCUGUGCCUCUCUAGCGUGUGUUCACCGUGGAACAGGAGACCGUCCCGAAGCCAGAUGCCCGCCUGCCUGCUGUGACACGGAGGGGCCGCAAGCCUGGCCCCUGCCGAGACCGGCCCCGUUGGAACAGGCAGGACCAUCCCCGGACCUCGUGGGUAGAUUGAUCUAGAAUUUCCUCUUGUUGCCAAAGAUAGAAGCACGUCCCGGCAGCUCCCCAGGGCCGUCGGCACCAACCAUCUGCUCCCGCAGAGACACACCGCGCCCGGGCGCUCUGCACUGAUGCACACCCCAAAGGAACCCCGUUCCCCCACCACCUAUGACCCCAAGGCUGGCAGUGACACGUCUAAACUCAGGAGAAGUC
rnacentral:lncRNA from 1 species